CAAGGAUGAACCGCUAGCGAUAGGCCUAACAACAUGCAAGUCGAGCGUGGAAUCCCUAGUUCGGGGGAUGAGAGCGGCGCACGGCCGUGAGUAACGCGUAUGCAACCUGCUAGCGACAGGUAGGGAUAGCAGAGAGAUCCGGAUCAAUACCCCAUAUAAUUAUGCAUUCGCAUGAUUUUAUGAUUAAAGCUACGGCGGUUCGGGAUGGGCAUGCGUGACAUUAGCUUGUUGGUGAGGUAACGAUGCUCACCAAGGCUGCGAUGUCUAGGGCGGUUCUGAGAGGAUGAUCCACACUGGUACUGAGACACGGACCAGUAACUCCUACGGGAGGCAGCAGUGAGGAAUAUUGGUCAAUGGGCGCAAGCCUGAACCAGCCAUCCCGCGUGAAGGAAGACGGCCCUAUGGGUUGUAAACUUCUGGUGUACAUGAAGAAGAGGGACCUACGGGUAGGUUCGUGACGGUAAUGUACGAAUAAGCAUCGGCUAACUCCGUGCCAGCAGCCGCGGUAAUACGGAGGAUGCGAGCGUUAUCCGGAUUCAUUGGGUUAUGAACACGGGUACGUAGGUGGCCCGGUAAGUCAGUGGUGAAAACCUGCGCGCUUAACGGUAGGCGUAGCCAUUGAUACUGUCGGGCUUGAGUGCAGUUGAGGCAGGCGGAAUGUGUAGUGUAGCGGUGCUAGCAUAGAUAUUACACAGAACUCCGAUUGCGAAGGCAGCUUGCUAAAGUGCAACUGACGCUGAUGUACGAAAGCGUGGGUAGCGAACAGGAUUAGAUAAUGUGGUAGUCCACGCCGUAAACGAUGCUCACUGGCUGUAUGCGAUACACCGUAUGCGGCCAAGCGAAAGCGCUAAGUGAGCCACCUGGGGAGUACGUAUGCAACGGUGAAACUCAAAGGAAUUGACGAGCGCAUCGCACAAGCGGAGGAACAUGUGGUUGUAAUGAGAUGAUACGCCGAGGAACCUUACCUGGAGCUCUAGAAUGGGGACUGACGGACACUGAAAGGUGUCUUUCUUCGGACAGUCUUCAAGGUGCUGCAUGGUUGUCGUCAUGCUCGUGCCGUGAGGUGCUCGGGUUAAGUCGCCAUAACGAGCCGCAACCCUUACCGUUCAAGUUACCAUAUCAGGUUAAGCUGGGGACUCUAGCGGGACUGCCACCGUAAGGUGAGAGGAAGGCGGCCGUGACGUCAAAUCAGCACGCAUCUUAUGUCCAGGGCUACACACGUGUUACAAUGGCCGGUACAAAGCUACUCUGCGAAGAGAUGCUACAAUCUUCAAAGCCGGUCUCAGUUCGGAUCGAAGUCUGCAACCCGACUUCGUGAAGCUGGAUUCGCUAGAGUAAUCGCGCAUCAGCCAUCCGGCGCGGUGAAUAUAGCUCGCGGGCCUUGUACACACCGCCUACGUACAAGAUAUGGAAUGUUGGCGCGUACCUGAAGUCUGUUAACCGCAAGGAGCUGGCGCUAC
rnacentral:rRNA from 1 species